rnacentral:ncRNA from 1 species
CGAAAGUUUGACUCUGGCUAAGUGUUUCCUCUUUAAUAAAAGCGCAUGUAAAUGUAGGUGUGCCUAUAGGCUUAAUAAACUCGUGGUAGGCUAAGCCAUUCCGGGGCAAGGACAGUUAUAACCCCUCAAUUCUCAGCUCAUAGUAUUAGCUAAUCAGGGAACCCUGUAGCUAGUAAAUUAAAUUAAACCUGGCUAAAAUUGUGCCAGCCGCCGCGGUUAUACUGUGAGGUUAAGCAAACAAAAUUCGGUUAAAUUAAAUUAUUAAUAAAAAGUCCUAACGUUGGGGCGAAGAAAUCAGGUAUGGGUGAAAUAAAUAACUGAUAAAUUCUCCUCAAUACUUUGAGUGAGUAAGAAGUUUACAAAUUUAGGGUAUAAAACAGGAUUAGAUACCCUGCUAUACCUAAACCAAAAAUCAACAAACCUGGGUAAUAAACAGUUAUUACCUUGAAACCCAAAGAGUUUGGCGGUAUCUCAGCCUAGUUAGAGGAGCUUGUUCUGUAAUCGAUAAUCCUCGAAAAAUCUUACACAUUCUUGUAAACAGUUUAUAUACCGUCGUUGUCAGGCAAUGUCUAAAAACCAAUAAUUGCCCAAAUAUAUAAUUUAUAAUAUAUCAGAUCAAGGUGUAACCCAUGGAUGUGGUUGUAAUGAGCUACAAUUUAAACUAUAAAAACGGAAAUUAAUCUUAAAGAGUUAAUAAAAGGUGGAUUUAAUCGUAAUGGAAUGUUUAACAAGAUUCAAUGAUUAAAGCUCUGAGAUAUGUACACAUCGCCCGUCGCUCUCAUUACAAAGUGAGAUAAGUCGUAACAUAGUAGAGGCACUGGAAAGUGCCUCUAGAAUG